rnacentral:lncRNA from 1 species
CCUGGUUUUCUCAUUCAGGGAGAUCAGAGUGUGUGUCUGCUAGCAGCCAGAAUGUCUGGGCCUCUGAAUAAUUCAAGUGCCUCUUUUCAACGACAGUCACCCAGAGGACAAGCUGAUUGCACUUUGGAUGACCCCUGUAUGUCUGGGUUCCUGGACAUGAUGAAUGUCCUCAUUCUGGUCUUCUCUGGGGAAAUACAUACAUACAUACAUACCGUGUUUGGCAGAGGCCUCUGUGUAAAGUCUCAGUUUAGAGUUAGUUUUAAAGAAAAGCAGAAAUGCUUCUCCCUAAGCCUGAGAGACCCCCACUGCACAGGCAACAGGAGCCAUCUCUCCUUCCUCCUUCUCCCCUCUGCUGUCACUACUUUGCCCUGACACCCUGCCUAGCCCCAUGGACAUGCAUUAGUCUCUCUCUUCCUAUCAACUAUGCAAGGCCCUUCAAGCCCCACUUUUGCUUUCAGAGGGCUUCAUGUCCCCAGAGGCUGAGGAGCUUGCUUGUUUAUCUCUUUUUCUAGCUGUACCUGGUCUGAAAAGGGAGACCGCAUGCACCUUACUGCACCCCCUUCCCACCCCAUCCCUCCUCUGCAUAAGGAAAUGGCCCAGGAACCUCUGCCUGCAUCAUCUGUGUCCCGCUCUGAGACAGUGCGUGCCUCGCUCAUAGACCUUCCCCACUCCCGGGGCUGCUGGAGCCCAGCUCUUGGGCCUUCUUGGGACCACCUUCUUCCCUGAAGCCUGGUGCAAAGGAGAGACAAGGUCUCACUCAGAAUCCGAUUCUGUCCUCCAGCCUGGAGUAUGUGGUGCAAUCCCAGAUCUCUGCAGGCUUGAGCUCCUGGGCUCAAGCGAUCCUCCUGCCUCAGCCUCUCAAGUAGAUGGAACUACAGCUAUGGCACAGCAGCCCUGGAAUGACAACCGGAGACUUUGUGCUUGCAAAAGCUUAUCCUUCUUUGCUGGGAGUUCUGGGAUAACGUAGGUCGGAUCAGAAAACGCCAUAUGCUAGUUCACAGGGAAUUUCCAAAGAGCAGCUAGCUCCAGUUGGUUGCUAAGAGACAGCUCCACAGCUGGACUUUGGCUGCAAAAUUUGAACAAAAAAAGAAGAGCACAAAUGAGCUUGCCAGGGCUUUAGCUUCCACUGUUGAUCACUGCCUAGAUUCACCACUUUAUUAAUGGCUCAGAAGAUAUUGCUUUCUAAAAUUCUGCUAUGUUUAUCAACAUCUGGAGUAAUGAGUUUAGCACCUGCUACCUCCAGUAAGUACUGAACAAUAUGACUUUAAAUUAUCUUUUGAAUGCAUAGAUUUUUAUAUAUUUGAUUGUUUCAGUCUGUGUCCAUUAGUAUUUUUUUGAUGCUCAAUUUGUUAAUUUUAGGCUAAGGGGAAUUCUAUUACUAGGCCCCUCCAUCUUUCUCACCUGGCAUCUCCUAUUUUAUGUGACAAAAAUAUGUCCCAGAAUCAUUUUGUACAUUUACGUGCCUGGAAUUGGUCAUUACUCAAAAAAAGCCCUGGCUUAUUUUAGUGAGAAGUAGUACUUAGAGACCAGAAUCGAGGUCCUGGGAGUACAUGAUUUUAUUUAGUCUUCAUAAUG